rnacentral:tRNA from 1 species
ACGCCGAUAAAUGGCAUUUUGUUCGGCCUUCUAAGCCGAGGGUGGGGGGUUCGAGUCCCUCCUGCCGUACCA